rnacentral:lncRNA from 1 species
AGGCCGCGGUAACGGCCACGAUUCUGCUCCACUUUCUGCGACAGAUUCCGUGCGGCUCCAUCACCCCCUGGCAUACCGCAGUAACGGCCACGACUCUGCUCCACUUCCUGCGACAGAUUUUGCGUGGCUCCAUCACUCCCCGGUAGACCACAAUAAUGGCCAUGAUUCUGCUCCACUUCCUGCGACGGAUACCGCGCAGUUCCUUCACCCUCUGGCA